UACAGAGGGUGCGAGCGUUAAUCGGAUUUACUGGGCGUAAAGCGUGUGUAGGUGGCUUCCUAAGUCGAUUGUGAAAUCCCUGGGCUCAACCUGGGAAUUGCAGUCGAUACUGGGGAGCUCGAGUUCGGUAGAGGACGGCGGAAUUCCCGGUGUAGAGGUGAAAUUCGUAGAUAUUGGGAAGAACACCGGUGGCGAAGGCGGCGAGCUGGUCCAUUACUGACGCUGAGGCGCGACAGCGUGGGGAGCAAACAGG
rnacentral:rRNA from 1 species